GGGUUCGAUCAUACCAGCGCUAAUGUAUCGGAUCCCAUCAGAACUCUGCAGUGAAGUGUACGUGGGCGAGAUUAGUACUAGGUUGGGUGACCUCCAGGGAUGUCCUCGUAUUUCACCCA
rnacentral:rRNA from 1 species